rnacentral:rRNA from 1 species
CAAUGCAAGUCGAACGGGAUUUAGUAAACAGAAGCCUCGGUGGAAGAUUACUAAUGAGAGUGGCGAACGGGUGAGUAACGCGUGAGCAACCUGCCUAUGACAGUGGGAUAGCCUCGGGAAACCGGGAUUAAUACCGCAUAAAAUCGUAGAAACACAUGUUUUAACGGUCAAAGAUUUAUCGGUCAUAGAUGGGCUCGGGUCUGAUUAGCUAGUUGGUGAGAUAACAGCCCACCAAGGCGACGAUCAGUAGCCGGUCUGAGAGGAUGAACGGCCACAUUGGAACUGAGACACGGUCCAAACUCCUACGGGAGGCAGCAGUGGGGAAUAUUGCACAAUGGGGGAAACCCUGAUGCAGCGACGCCGCGUGAACGAAGAAGGUAUUCGUAUCGUAAAGUUCUGUCCUAUGGGAAGAUAAUGACAGUACCAUAGAAGAAAGCUCCGGCUAAAUACGUGCCAGCAGCCGCGGUAAUACGUAUGGAGCGAGCGUUGUCCGGAAUUAUUGGGCGUAAAGGGUACGCAGGCGGUUUAAUAAGUCGAAUGUUAAAGAUCGGGGCUCAACCCCGUAAAGCAUUGGAAACUGAUAAACUUGAGUAGUGGAGAGGAAAGUGGAAUUCCUAGUGUAGUGGUGAAAUACGUAGAUAUUAGGAGGAAUACCAGUAGCGAAGGCGACUUUCUGGACACAAACUGACGCUGAGGUACGAAAGCGUGGGGAGCAAACAGGAUUUAGAUACCCUGGUAGUCCACGCCGUAAACGAUGAAUGCUUAGGUGUUGGGGGUCAAACCCUCGGUGCCGAAGUUAACACAUUUAAGCAUUCCGCCUGGGGAGUACGCACGCAG